CGGCCCGGGAGGCGGUGGCCGCGGCCGGCCGGGCCCGGCCCGGCCCUCCAGAUCCCCGCCCGGUCGCUCCCGGUCUCGCCGAGGCGGCGGUUCGCGCGGAGGGCGCCGGUUUGGCUCGGUAGAGCUCCGCGGCCCCCUCUGGAGGUGUCACCGCAGGCCUGCGGCUGUCCCAGGCGCCCUGCGGGUUGGAGGACCCAAAGGCUUCUCUGUGUGCUCUCCUCGCCAUCCCCCAGCACAGUGCCUGCGCGGCCAGGGAAUUAGAAACAACUGCGUGCUUAGACCAAGCUGUCCAGUCCCUAGAUGGGAAGGAGCCAUGACAGUUCCCACCAUUUGGAAGCAGCAAGACCUCCCAAUCCCCAUCUUCUCCCAAUAAAACAGAGGGGCCUUUAGAGAGAAGUUGAACUUCAGCGCAGACAACAUACAGAUUUCUGAAGAGACUGUUUAACACAUCUGAGCCUGGUAUUGAUCUUGCAGAACCUCAUUAGAAACACCUGUUUCAGGGAGGAUGUUGGCAGUUCUUAAUCCGUGCAGUGUGUGCUCUGCUAAUGGUUCACCCCAGACAGCAGUUUUUUGUGACAGACACAUGGAUAUCAAUCUGUAAAAUCACUGAUACAUUGCCCAUGUAGUUGAGGAACACGCAGAUGACCCAACAUGACAUUUUAGCAAUGAUGCCGCUAUUGCCUGUGUUGUGAGAGCUGCCUGGAGAGCACCCAACUGAAGUAGUAAAUCACAGAUGGCAUUUACAUCCCUGCACACAUUCCCAGUGCUAAUUCAAUAAACAGCCAGGUGGAGAGAGCUGCAGACAAGGCCCUUUCAUUCCAUCAUGCCAGCAGGAAGCACGUGGAGGUGGCUGGUGGCAGCAGUAAAGCAUAGUACUCUUAGUCAAUCAUGAAAACAAGAAACAACAAAUGCAUUGGGAACCUUGAGUGACGAGGGGGAGAGUAAGUGACUAUGACCACUGAAGAAACUGGUUCUUCCCCAUGCCAUCUACACACCUCAUCUGAAGAUGGAUGACCAGCGGUUUCCAUUGAAGCACUUUAGAAGCAAUUAAUCUGCAGUCAUAUACGUAAGGCAUGAUGGAGCAAAACCUCAAGGCUUCCAUUGCUCAAACAUUCAAAUACCAGCUCAUCUCUGAACACAGCCAGCUUUUAGUAUUACCACUGGCCAAUUGGCCAAAGCCAAUUAGAGGAGAAGGUGUCCAGAAGUGAUUAGGCAGCCCAGACUUUCCCAACUCCAUCAACCCUAGCACUCUGUUUUAGCUCUGUGCACUUCCUUAGACCAGACCAGUCCCAGCACAAUACUAGAGGGAGAAGCUGUUAGAAAAUGGCACUCCAUUUUUUAACUGGGAAGAUUCCUUUCCAUCAACAGCAUUCUUUUAAUUAACUAAGUACCAGACAGUUUUGAUGAAGAAACUCAGUAUUGCAAGCAAAGAGGAGGAUGCUUCCUAAUUUAAAUCCUUGGAAAUUACACAUGGGAAUAUGAGAAUGAAAGGAGUAUCUACUUGGUCUCUCUGAAAACACAUUUCAGAUUCAGCCCUUUUACAAAGUAUCUCCUGAGCAAUGAUGAAGCAUCCUGCUCUGCAUUAACUCCUCAGGUGUCCAAAGAGGAAUAGCAAAUCCUUUUAUUGGGCCUUUAUCUCUUCCCUUGUACCCUCUUGUCUAUCCUUCCCACUGAAGUGACCACUCGCAAAGCCAAGGGAGACCGCACACAGGAGAAUCGUUCAAAUGAGAUGUAGCUGUAUUCUCCUUCCCAUUCCCCCUCCUCUAGGGCCUGGGCAAAUUCUUAGUGUCUGUCCUUCAGAGACUUAAGCUAUGGAAGACUGCGACACUCAGACAAUUGCACUUUGAGUUGUGGUCACACCAUGGGCUGUAACUGCAGGAUGGCCAACAGGGCAUAUAGGUGUGUUUUCACUUGGCUUGAAACUAGAGUUUGCGUAUGGCCACUGGAGUAGCCCAGGGUUCAGCAUGGGCUAGGCAGAGUAUCAACUCUGGUCUGCAUUUCACACAGCUCUUCAGCAGCCUUCCUGCACAUUAGCUCUACUCAAGUUCAGUAAUUUAAUCACAGCAGCAAUUGCAGCAUAAGCUAAAAAUCAAGAGCGCCUCAGACACCAUGGAAAAAUGGGUUUAAAGGCAAAUAAUGAUAUCAGAGUACCACAAACACAUCUUCUGAGUUCCCACCUGGCUGCUGGAAGAUGCUUCUUCGAGAUGCAGUGACUGACAGCCGAUCUGUUUUUGGUUUCUUGAAAACAAAUAAAAUGGGUGCUUCCACAAAUGUUCUAACCAAGCCUGCUUUAAUUCACAUUUGGAUUGUGUGAGGGACAUUAAUUAACAGGGUCAGCUGGCGUUUCUCAGCAGAGGGACUGAAAUUAAGACAACAAACUCCACCACUUGACAUAGCUGGAUCAUAACUUUAAUCUCAGUCUCUGCAGCUACGAGCUUUGUACAAAGCAAGUGCUCAGACAACAGAAGAGUAUGAAGUUUUAGAGG